rnacentral:rRNA from 1 species
UCCUACGGGAGGCAGCAGGGAGGAAUAUUGGGCAAUGGGCGAAAGCCUGACCCAGCAACGCCGCGUGAAGGAUGAAAGCCUUCGGGUUGUAAACUUCUUUUAGGGGAGACGAGAAAGGACGGUAUCCCCUGAAUAAGCAACGGCUAACUACGUGCCAGCAGCCGCGGUAAUACGUAGGUGACAAGCGUUGUCCGGAUUUACUGGGCGUAAAGAGCGCGCAGGCGGUCGUUCAAGUCGAGUGUGAAAGCCCCCGGCUCAACUGGGGAGGGUCAUUCGAUACCGAUCGACUCGAAGGCAGGAGAGGGAAGCGGAAUUCCCGGUGUAGUGGUGAAAUGCGUAGAUAUCGGGAGGAACACAGUGGCGAAGGCGGCUUCCUGGCCUGUUCUUGACGCUGAGGCGCGAAAGCUAGGGGAGCAAACGGGAUUAGAUACCCCGGUAGUCCUAGCCGUAAACGAUGGACACUAGGUGUUGGUGGUAUCAACCCCACCAGUGCCGAAGCUAACGCAUUAAGUGUCCCGCCUGGGGAGUACGGCCGCAAGGCUAAAACUCAAAGGAAUUGACGGGGCCCCGCACAAGCAGCGGAGCGUGGGGUUUAAUUCGAUGCAACGCGAAGAACCUUACCAGGGCUUGACAUGACCAGGAAUCCGGCGGAAACGUCGGCGCCCCGCAAGGGGCCUGGCCACAGGUGUUGCAUGGCUGUCGUCAGCUCGUGUCGUGAGAUGUUGGGUUGAGUCCCGCAACGAGCGCAACCCUUGUCCUUAGUUGCCAGCAUUCAGUUGGGCACUCUAAGGAGACUGCCGGUGUUAAACCGGAGGAAGGUGGGAUGACGUCAAGUCCUCAUGGCCCUUAUAGGUGGGGCUACACACGUCAUACAAUGGCCGGUACAAAGGGCUGCCAACCCGCGAGGGGGAGCUAAUCCCAUAAAACCGGUCGUAGUCCGGAUCGUAGUCUGCAACUCGACUACGUGAAGUCGGAAUCGCUAGUAAUCGUGGAUCAGAAUGUCACGGUGAAUACGUUCCCGGGCCUUGUACACACCGCCAU